rnacentral:rRNA from 1 species
CAGCCCCGCGGGAAAACGUAGGUGGCAAGCGUUGUCCGGAAUUAUUGGGCGUAAAGGGCUCGCAGGCGGUUUCUUAAGUCUGAUGUGAAAGCCCCCGGCUCAACCGGGGAGGGUCAUUGGAAACUGGGAAACUUGAGUGCAGAAGAGGAGAGUGGAAUUCCACGUGUAGCGGUGAAAUGCGUAGAGAUGUGGAGGAACACCAGUGGCGAAGGCGACUCUCUGGUCUGUAACUGACGCUGAGGAGCGAAAGCGUGGGGAGCGAACAGGAUUAGAUACCCCCGUAGUCCCUGUCUCUAUACAC